rnacentral:rRNA from 1 species
CCUACGGGUGGCAGCAGUGAGGAAUAUUGGUCAAUGGACGAGAGUCUGAACCAGCCAAGUAGCGUGAAGGAUGACUGCCCUAUGGGUUGUAAACUUCUUUUAUAUGGGAAUAAAAUGUUCCACGUGUGGGAUUUUGUAUGUACCAUAUGAAUAAGGAUCGGCUAACUCCGUGCCAGCAGCCGCGGUAAUACGGAGGAUCCGAGCGUUAUCCGGAUUUAUUGGGUUUAAAGGGAGCGUAGGUGGAUUGUUAAGUCAGUUGUGAAAGUUUGCGGCUCAACCGUAAAAUUGCAGUUGAAACUGGCAGUCUUGAGUACAGUAGAGGUGGGCGGAAUUCGUGGUGUAGCGGUGAAAUGCUUAGAUAUCACGAAGAACUCCGAUUGCGAAGGCAGUUCACUGGACUGCAACUUACACUGAGGCUCGAAAGUGUGGGUAUCAAACAGGAUUAGAUACCCUAGUAGUC